rnacentral:lncRNA from 10 species
GUGCUGUCCUGGGUUAACCUGAAAGCAAUCUCCGAGGCUCCCCUUUCUGGCUUUCGGGGAGCCAGAGACUGACCGGACACUUGGCUCUGCAGGUGCAGACCUGGACCAGAGAGACAGAGAGCCAAGGAAGUCCACAGUGGAGAGAGGGCUGUGCUGGGGGUUCCAGGAAGACUUCCUGGAGGAGGGGAUCUUGGAGCUAGGCCUUGAAGACGAGUUUGUCAAAUGAGGAAGGGCAUCCGAAGCCGAGGGAACGGCAGAAGGGAACGCUGGGGAGGGGAGAGAAUCUGGAGAGUUCCGGAAAAAGCAAGUAGGACUCUUUCCAGAAGUUCGGGCAAGAUUUUCCCUGGAUCAGGGCGUGGGUUCUCCAGUACUCGUCCCUCCCGGUCACCGAGAUGCUCUGAGUUUCCGGUCUGAACCUGAACGUAAAGAGAACAUCCAAUUUGUGCAUCCCCCAGCCGCAGAACCCCCCCACCUGGAGCAUCUCGCGAUCAUCGAGCCCUCGGUCUACUUGACACUGAGGCUGAGCCUCCCA